rfam:[Clostridium] paradoxum JW-YL-7 = DSM 7308 strain JW-YL-7 ctg1, whole genome shotgun sequence.
GGCGGCAUAGCUCAGUUGGCUAGAGCGUUCGGUUCAUACCCGAAAGGUCACUAGUUCGAAUCUAGUUGCCGCUA